GGGGGGGGGGGGGGGGGGGGGGGGGGGGGGGGGGGGGGGCGGGGGGGGCGCGGUCGGGGGGGACGGGAGGGGGGGAGGGGUGAGGAACACGGGGGGAGGCUGCCCGUGACGUUGGGAUAACUUCCGGGAACGGGGGCUAAUGCCGGAGAGGAGCUCCUGCUGCAUGGUGGGGGGUGGACAGGUUCGGCGGUUGGGGGUGGACGCGCGGCUUAUCAGCGUGUUGGUGGGGGAGUGGCUUACCAAGGCUUUGACGGGUAGCCGGCCUGAGAGGGUGACCGGCGACAUUGGGAGUGAGGUAGGGCCCGGACGCCUACGGGUGGCAGCCGUGGGGAAUCUUGCACAAUGGGUGGGAGCCUGAUGCAGAAGCGCCGUGUGCGGGAUGACGGGCUUCGGGUUGUAAACCGCUUUCGCUCAUGACGAAGCUUUGUGUGACGGUAGUGGGUAAAGAAGCACCGGCUAACUACGUG
rnacentral:rRNA from 1 species